rnacentral:ncRNA from 1 species
AGAAUUAGAGGACGGAAGGGGCAGCCGUCACCCUUGUUAGGAGAUGCGGGAGUGUCGCCCCGCCUAGUUCU